rnacentral:rRNA from 1 species
CCUACGGGAGGCAGCAGUGGGGAAUAUUGGACAAUGGGGGCAACCCUGAUCCAGCCAUGCCGCGUGUGUGAAGAAGGCCCUCGGGUUGUAAAGCACUUUCAGUGAGGAAGAACGCCUGGUGGUUAAUACCCAUCAGGAAAGACAUCACUCACAGAAGAAGCACCGGCUAACUCCGUGCCAGCAGCCGCGGUAAUACGGAGGGUGCGAGCGUUAAUCGGAAUUACUGGGCGUAAAGCGCGCGUAGGUGGCUUGAUAAGCCGGUUGUGAAAGCCCCGGGCUCAACCUGGGAACGGCAUCCGGAACUGUCAAGCUAGAGUGCAGGAGAGGAAGGUAGAAUUCCCGGUGUAGCGGUGAAAUGCGUAGAGAUCGGGAGGAAUACCAGUGGCGAAGGCGGCCUUCUGGACUGACACUGACACUGAGGUGCGAAAGCGUGGGUAGCAAACAGGAUUAGAUACCCUAGUAGUA